CCCCACCCUCUCCCAAUCCCUAAUCUCUCGUGGCCAGUGGAUUCGCCCCUUGUGGGGUCGAUUCCUCCGAGACGUCGGUCUGGAGGGCCGGCCGGGAGCGGCACGUCCCCCGUCGGCGCGUCGGUGGCGACGGCCCCGCAGGUUGUUGCUCGCGGUUGGUUGCAAGGAUAGUUGUUGCGGUGGUCAAUUUCUCCUAGAAAGGUUUGUCUUCAACCUCUGGAGAUUUGUCUUCGACUAGCUCCGAGAGGUGUCACGGUCUGAGAGGAUAUAGUGGGAUGGCUCCAUCUGCUAGAGUGAUUGGUAGUGGCUGUUAAAACGAUAGCUGACUGUAACAAAUAAUGUGUGAGAACAAGGAGCCAAAAAUAUUGGGAAAUGACCAUAAGAUAGAUAGUGGAUUCAGUGAUUUGGUUAUUAUGGAGGUUGAUGGAACUUGGUCUACUGUCAGAAUUCAGAGCCAUAAAGCAUUGGACUUGGACAAGCAACAAACAAUCAAGGAUGCGUACGUGACUGCUCCAUGGUUGAGAGCUCUUCCAUGGCAGCAACCAGCAGUCCCAAGGCCAAGGACAGUUGUUGUAAGGAAUGUGUUUCCAUGCACCCGCCUCGACCUUUAGGACUGAUUUUAUGCUCUUCGAUUUUGUACUCAGUCAAGUAAUGUUUUUAUGGUUCAUGAAGGUGAGAUAUUUGAAGCUCUACGCUUGUGUGACUAGAAUGGUGAACAUCUUUUUUAAUGGUGAUGCGCUGAGAAUGUGUCCAAGGGGAUCCAGUGGUGCGGGGUGAUGACUGUGGGCAGGCUCCGCUGGGGGAACGAGGUGUUCCGGAAGAGGAUCCAGCCCGGCGAUACUGAGGCUAAGGUCAGCCUGGAGAUGCUCAGGCGUAUCGAAAGCGGAUCAUCGCCUCCCGGAAGCACCAUGGCUACUACUGCUCCGCAUCGCUGCUCCUUAGAUGAGCUCUCGCGAUGCCAGUACCGGUACCCGGAGCAGCGUCGGCCGCCGAGACGGCUGUCCAUGUUGCCAUUGUCAUUGUCCUUCAGCUGGAUCGCGGGGCGGUGACAUGUUCGUCGUGCUCAUUGCUUCUUAUCACUUCGACUACCUGAUAGAGAUGGAAGAGGCAAUGCAGGCCAAGGUGCGCUCGCCGGCGCCGCCCACUGAACGGCGGAUCCAGUGCACACUCAGUGCGCGCAGGGGGUGACGGGCCAAGGUGCACUCGCCGGUGCCGCCCACUGACCGGCGGAUCCAGGAGCACCCUCUACGAUGACCUCCCCGGCACGCCACCGCUGUCGACGGUCGCCUAGGUACUGCCGACGAGGUACUACCGAUGAUCUUGGCUCGCAGGUUAUGGAUUACCUGAUGAGAAACGGGGUUUUAUGUGACUGUAUUUAGUAUUCAAUAUGGAACCUGACAGAGAAUAUGUGGAUGCUGGUUAUUUUCCCACUAGAUGAUUUGUUGGGUUCCAUAGAAGGGAAAGAAAGCUUCAACUGAUUGCAAGGAAGGCCUAUUCAAAGAACGACAACCAGAAAAUAUUCCUGUCUAUAUGCAGGGUAUACAAUUUUUGCCCAAUAUGCUAUGUAAAAAUAGUUUACAUUGGUCGGUAUUCGGGUGAUUGAGUUGUAUCCAUGAUGUAAAGUCGUUUAAUUGUCAUGAGUUUGUGUGCACAUAUAAGGUAUUUUUAUGUAUUGUCCAUACUAUUGUUAUUCCCGUCACUCAUAAUCCGGAGAUAUUAGUUGAUGAAUGAUUAAUCGUGCCUUUCUUUUGGUAUAAGGUACUUAAACUUCCUUUUGGUAUAUCAUGCUGCAUUUCCUAAGAA